rnacentral:rRNA from 1 species
GUGAGGAAUUUUCCGCAAUGGGCGAAAGCCUGACGGAGCAAUGCCGCGUGAAGGAUGAAGGCCUAUGGGUUGUAAACUUCUUUUCUUAGAGAAGAAUAUUGACGGUAUCUGAGGAAUAAGCAUCGGCUAACUCUGUGCCAGCAGCCGCGGUAAGACAGAGGAUGCAAGCGUUAUCCGGAAUGAUUGGGCGUAAAGCGUCUGUAGGUGGCUUCAAAAGUCUCCUAUCAAAGAUCAGGGCUUAACCCUGGGCCGGCAGGAGAAACUCUGAGGGUAGAGAGUGGGAGGGGGAGGGGUAAUACCCGGGGGAGAGGUGAAAAGCGUAGAGAGCGGGAGGAGCACCAAAGGCGAAAGCACUCUGCUGGGCCACAACUGACACUGAGAGACGAAAGCGAGGGGAGCAAAAGGAAUUAGAAACCCGUGUAGUCC